AAAUCCCAAAGCACUGCUUGGGUUCUGUUUGGGUCUCAUAAUCCGAUGUUAAAUAGCCUGAUUUCUUCGGUUGAACUUCGGAAAUUAUAUUGCGCAAUUUUUUCAACGUCGGAAUACGAUUGAGGCUCGAAUCUGAAUCGAUGAUGUUCCGAUGAUGUUCCGAGUGUGAUUGCGCGGUCACAUAGUGCCGACGUGGCGAGCCGAGAAGAAAGGCACAUUCAAAAGAGAUUUUGUGUUCACAUUGUCUCUGCUGGUUGUCUCGCGUUUUUCUCCUAAAAUGAAUAUAUUCCGACUUGCUGGAGACUUGUCCCAUCUUCUAGCAAUACUAUUGCUGCUGUGGAAAAUAUGGAAGACUCGCUCUUGCGCUGGUAAGCUCUUAUAUUCUUACAUUUUGUUUUAUUAUAUUGUCGAAUGUGUACUGUUCUUAUUGGUCUAUAAAACACGAAGGUCAAUAUAUGACUGUUUGAUCUCUCGUAUAGCUAAACGAUAGCCUCAACUAUGAUUCCACUUUAUCGAUCUUUCUAAUUUAUAUCAUAUUAUGUUGUAUUUCCUUGUAUAAUUUUGAAAACAAAUUGUUAUAACAUACACAGAUUCUAUAUAUUGUAAAUUGUAUUAGCUACAUUGCAAUUUGCAGUUGAUCUUUUACGAUAAAUUUGGCUGUGAUAUUCUUAGUAAUAUUUGAGAUUGCAGAGUGUUGGUUUAUUUAUGGUUAGAAUUCAGAUUUUCGUAAAUUUUGGAGAUGAAGUUUUGUUAUUUUACUGGCAUAUUAUGACACGUGGAAUUUUGCCCGUCAGCGUUAAAUUACCCUGGAAACGAGUCACUAAAUAGAGGGGUAUUGUUUCAAGGCCUCAAAUCUCAGUUGUAGAUUAUUGCCUGCAGUUUUGCCCUGGGUUUUUUGUGAGCCUGCCAUGGAAAAUCAUGCAAAAUCAUGCAAAAUCAAUCUUACAAUGCAUAAUCAAUCAUGUAUAAAUUGGACAUGCAAGUUCUGUAUAACUUCACUUUAGGAUAGCCCACAUAAAUUUAAGAACAUGUACAUUGCAUGCAUAAGAUUAAGCCUGCUACUGUAUGUUGAGGUGUUGCUUAGGGUUCAGGGGUGGAAAAAAUUGGCAAGCAUGCGAGCAGCUGCAGGAAAUUUGUUUGAAUGAAGAUUUGCUAUUGAAAAUUUGAAAGAAACCUUAACACCCAUGGGUACAACAAAAUAUGGUUGACAGACAUUAUUCCUUGAAUUUAAAACCAUGGUCAGCUAGAAUACUAUAUGUUUAGCACAUGCAGAUUUAGCACAAAAAUGCUCCAUUGGUCUGCAUAAAAUUUUUGUCUCCAGGUUGUGCUCCCAGGAAGAAAUACUUUUUCCUGGCUCUGAGAUGGCUGAUCAGUCGAUAUGCUUGAGUUGUGCUUGUGAUAAGGGAUGAUGAGCCUGUCCUGACUUUACUAAUUUCAAUCCUUGUAACAUUUUCCAGGUAUUUCCGGCAAGAGUCAAGUUCUUUUUGCACUGGUAUUCACCACACGAUACCUUGAUCUUUUUAUGUCGUAUAUAUCACUUUAUAAUUCUGUUAUGAAAUGUAUAUUCAUUGCGUGCUCAUAUGCAACUGUCUAUCUGAUCUUUGUGAAAUUUAAAGCAACGUACGAUUCAAAUCACGACACAUUCCGAAUGGAGUUCAUUGUUGUCCCCGUUGCUGGUCUUGCUGUUCUUGUUAACCAUAGUUUGACGCUUGUUGAGGUAAUAAGAGACAAAACUAAAUUUAUUUAUACUGGAUUGAUCUGUCAGUUAUAUCUGGUAGUAUUUUUACUCCUCCAGUGACUGAGGUGAAAUUAUAAUCAAACAACUGCAUGAAACAAGGACACAUAACAAUUGGGUUGAACACAAGUAUUUUACAGGGACCUGUUGCUAAAUUUAUUAAUUAAAUUAACUAAUAUUCCCAAACUUCCCAAAGGUUUUGUGGACGUUUUCCAUCUACCUUGAGUCGCUGGCCAUUCUACCGCAGCUGUUCAUGAUCUCAAAGACAGGAGAGGCAGAGACAAUUACAAGUCAUUAUCUGUUCGCCCUUGGUUCUUACCGAGCUCUGUACUUAGCCAAUUGGAUUCUGCGCUAUGCUUCCGAAGGGUUCUAUGACCUUAUUGCUGUCGUCGCAGGAUGUGUGCAGACUGUUCUCUACUGUGAUUUCUUCUAUCUGUAUAUUACUAAAGGUAGGUUAGGAAUUGGUUGGUGAUAAUGAUGAUGUUGAUGAUAAUGGUGAUGGUGGUGGUUAUCUUGAUGAUGAUAAUGAUGGUUGUGAUGAUAGUUGUGAUGGUAGUUAGUGGUGAUGAUGAUGGUGAUGAUGAUGAUGAUGGUGGUGAUGAUGGUGGUGGUGGUGAUAAUGAUGAUGAUGGUGGUGGUGGUGAUAAUGAUGAUGAUGGUGGUGAUAAUGAUGAUGAUGGUGGUGAUAAUGAUGAUGAUGGUGGUGAUAAUGAUGAUGGUGAUGAUGGUGGUGGUGAUGGUGGUGAUAAUGAUGAUGAUGGUGGUGAUAAUGAUGAUGGUGAUGAUGAUGAUGGUGGUGAUGAUGAUGGUGAUGGUGGUGAUAAUGAUGAUGAUGGUAGUGAUGAUGGUGGUGAUGAUGGUAAUGAUGAUAGUAAUGAUGAUGGUGGUGGUGAUGAUGGUGGUGAUGAUGAUGGUAAUGAUGAUGAUGGUCAUGAUGAUGAUGAUGAUGACAAUCUAGUAAAACCAGUUUUAUUUCUUUUUUAGUUUUGAAAGGAAAGUCAUUGAAACUACCAGCAUAAGAAAGUGUCUGGCUGCUAUAAAGACUUGAAAACAAACUAUUACACUCUAUGAAUUGUACUGUAUGUUAAUAAUGCUAACAUAACAAUCUAAAAUGAAUUUAUUGCUCACAGUUUGGGCAUUUGCAUACAUCCUCAUUUCUUUGGUCUUUGUUAAAAUAAUUGUUAAAGUAAGUAACAUUGAUGUAUGCAGGUGUGAAACAGUUUGCACAUUUUACCUGCAUAGCUGGGUCAGCGGCGCACAUUCAACAAAUUGCUUGGGGGACAAUCUAGGAGCUACUUUCUUAUUGUGCAACAGACAUUUGUGGGUACACAAUAGCACAAAAAUAUGGAAAUGCAUGGGUUGUAAGUUCUCAGGUUAUGUUAAUAUUGAAUUUUUACAUAUUGCCAACAUACUUGUCAAUCCAAAUUUACUGAUAGGAUUUGAAUAACUCUUAUCGCAGAAAAUUGGAACUGACUUUUGGCACACUCUUAAAGAAAACUGGGACUGAUGUUUUGUGACCCCCCCCCCCCUCAAAAUGUACACUUUUGAGCUGGGUUUCACUAAGAAAUAUCUUGGAGCAGAUGGUGGCAACUGGCAGUUACCAACCAGAGUGAGAAAAUAAUAUUAAAUUUACUUCAAAAUAACAAAGGGAAAAGACAUUAAUAAGUUAAAUUCUUAAAAUUGAAGUUGCCUGCCAUCUGCUGCCCUUAUUGCUUAUUGAAACCAACCAUGACGCUUGCUGACAUACUGUAGUAAAGUUUUUUUAUCUUUCAAGAUAUAUAGUAAAUAAAGAAUUUAGAAUCUGAUUUCAGGAUUACUUUAAAAUAAAGAAAUUUAAGAGAUUUUGUAUCACCAUUAAUACCAUACGUGUUAAAUAAGUUAUAGCUACGAGAUUUGUCGCCAUAGUAUUGCUGCAUAAUAGAGAGCUGUUUCAAAUGUUGAGUUCUUAUUAAUACGGUUAUUACAAAUUUUUAUUUCUGCAUUGUGUGUUAUGACUUUCUUAAAGUAUUAAUAAUUCAUGGUAAUGUUACUAGUAUUGAUACCACAAUAAUAAACAUCCAUAU